AGCAGCCGCGGUAAUUCCAGCUCCAAUAGCGUAUAUUAAAGUUGUUGCAGUUAAAAAGCUCGUAGUUGAAUUUCGGGAUCAAUAUAUCGGUCGUGCCUUCGGUACGUACUGGUAUCAUUGGUUUCUCCUUUCUGACGAACCAUGAUGUCAUUAAUUUGGUGUUAUGGGGAGUUAGGACUGUUACUUUGAAAAAUUAGAGUGUUUAAAGCAGGCUUUAGCUUGAAUACAUUAGCAUGGAAUAAUGAAAUAGGACGUUCGAACCUAUUUUGUUGGUUUCUAGGAUCAAUGUAAUGAUUAAUAGGGAUAGUUGGGGGCAUUAGUAUUCAAUUGUCAGAGGUAAAAUUCUUGGAUUUAUUGAAGACUAACUACUGCGAAAGCAUUUGCCAAGGAUGUUUUCAUUAAUCAAGAACGAAAGUUAGGGGAUCGAAGACGAUCAGAUACCGUCGUAGUCUUAACCAUAAACUAUGCCGACUAGGGAUCGGAUGAUGUUAAUUUUUUAAUGUACUCAUUCGGCGCCUUA
rnacentral:rRNA from 1 species